GCAAACUUGGUCAUUUAGAGGAAGUAAAAGUCGUAACAAGGUCUCCGUAGGUGAACCUGCGGAGGGAUCAUUUGUGAAAGCUUGCGUCCGUCCCUUGACUGGGACGGAUCAACCCCUAAAUCUUGUGGGCAGACGGUUUGUGGUUUGGCGACCAAGAAGGUCGCCACCUUCAUGUCAGAAGCUGAGUUGUCUGAAUCUGAAUCAAAAAGUCAAAACUUUCAACACUGGAUCUCUUGGCUCUUGCAUCGAUGAAGAACGCAGC
rnacentral:misc_RNA from 1 species